rnacentral:rRNA from 1 species
AAAACGACUCUCGGCAAUGGAUAUCUCGGCUCUCGCAUCGAUGAAGAGCGCAGCGAAAUGCGAUACGUGGUGCGAAUUGCAGAAUCCCGCGAACCAUCGAGUCUUUGAACGCAAGUUGCGCCCGAGGCCAACCGGCCAAGGGCACGUCUGCCUGGGCGUCAAGCG